AAUUUUAUCCACUAGGUCAACCUUUAGUCGUUUGUUACCUGUUUAAUUUGAGAUGGAAUUUUGGUGCGUACUCUUUGCAUCUCUCUGUCUUUGUAUUUCUUUGCAUUCCCUCCUAAGUCUUUUACGCACUAAAAAACUUCCGUCAGGCCCCCCUACCAUACGCUUCUUAGGUAACAUACUAUGGCUUCUCAAAUCCUCCUAAGAUUUCUCCAACUUGGAACCCAUCCUCCGCCGACUACGCACCAAACAUGGCCCCAUUCUCACUCUCCAUAUCGGUUCACGGCCUUCCAUCUUCAUACGUACUCGUGAACUCGCCCACCGAGCCCUAGUCCAAAAUGCACUAUCUUCGCCAACCGCCCACAAGCUAUUGAAACCACCAAAGUUAUCUUUAGCAACCACCUCACUGUUAGUUCUGCGGCCUACGAAUCAUUGUGGAAGGUUCUUCGCCAAAUCCUUGCAUCUGUCUUACAUCCUCCUCAGUUAAAUGUAUACUCUGGUGGUUGUAAAUGGGCAUACGACGUAUUAAAAAAAGAACGACUAGACAUAGUAGAUCUUUGUAAACAAAGGAUUGGUGAAUUGAAUUGCUGUUUCUCAUCAUAGGAAGGGUAGGUGUCUUGGCAUUGAAUAAUGGUACCUUAAGGAAUUUCGCUUCUAUAGGAAAGGGGUAAUAGAAGAUCUUUGUAAACAAUUUUCUUUGACACAAAUUUUUGAGGCUUGUGCAAAUCCAUUGCUUAGAAGCUUGAAGUCUUAUCUUAACACACGUGUUUUUUUUUUUGGCCAGAAAGUGUAUGCCAUUUUUUUCUUUCUUUACCUUACCUUUACUACCUCUAAAUGUCUAAAAGUGCUGACAUUGGCAGUACGCUUUCUUCCUAUUCUCUGGGCUCUUGAAAUCGCAAAUUUCUUUGAGACCUUGAUAAUAAAAAUUGGUGAACUUUCUUGGACAAGAGGUGUUGGACCUUUAGAUGUAGUUUUUGCUUGUAAAUAUAUUUUAUGGCUGGUUUGAUCAAAACUUAGCGUUUAACCCUACCCUAGAUUUAUGUAGAAAUCAAGAGACAUGCGUCCUUUUAUAUCUCCAUUGUUCUGGUAUCAUUUCUUUCUGGAGGAGUUUUCUUUCCUGUUCUGUAUGGUUUGCAUGAGUAAAAUGUUCUAGUACACAUCAUGUUGAUGAUUUAAAUUGGCUUUCUUUGGCCUUGGGAGGACUUGGAGAGGGAGAUGCUUGUGGAUUUGUGGAGUGAAGCCAUUUUGGGGGUGUGCCAUAUAUUUUUAAUUUAGAGAGAUUUGAAGGCAGCCUCAUCUACAACAAGUCAAAUGCCUCAGCCUUUGGCUGUAGAAUUUGUUUUGAGGGCAGCUGCAGCAUUCAUGAAAUUGAAUUUGAUGGGGUUCCCCAGGUAAUCAAGGCUGAAUUGAGACUGGACAAUAUGUAAGGAUUUCAAUGGGAAGGUUAUUGCUUCCUUUUGUAUGUCCAGGCUGUGGCAAUGCAGUGAAUUGGGGAUUUUUGUGUGCUUGAAAGGGUAUAGCAUGCCAAAGUAUUUGUUUGUAGGCAUAUUUGGGUGGAAGGUGAUGUGAUGUUUUGCUUGUGGGCUAGGAGUAAAAUCAUGAAAUUUUGGAUAUUCUCCCCUUUUUGAUUCACGUUAUGAUUUUGCUUUGUUGAAUGCUUGAUUCAUUAGGGAAUGGAUAAUUGAUUUCUUGGCCAAGAGAGGGGCAGCUAUAUUGGAAAAUUUUAAGUAAGACUGCUGUAUUUCUUAAUUUUAAGUGAGCAUAGCAUAUCUUUGCUUUUAAGAGUUCUGUUUCAGACUUGACGCAUAGGCCAUCAUUUCCUUUUGACGCUUUCUUUAUAAAAAAUUACAUACAAAGAACAAAAUUUCUUGGCCUCCGGCCCUCCAUUUGUAGUGCUUUUCUAUUUUGUUUUUUUUAUUCUUUAUGGUUUUGUUAUCAAGUUUGAGGGGGAGUUAUUACAAACCCAAUGUGACGAAUGAUGAGUGUUUCACUAUUAUGGUCAUUCACCAGAAACUUACUUUACCUGCAUUGAAUGAAACGCUUCCUUAUGACAUCAGAAAAUAAUUCUUUGGCAGUUGUCCUUCUUAUUUGUCUUUGAUUGCUCAAAGAAGAAGUUGGAAAUUGCAAUGCCCGACAUUGAUGGACAACUGUUACCAGGUUUGGACACCAUCUUUGAAGUUGAUGGUGGAGACCUCUUCUCAUUUUUUGGCGCUUCUAUGGAGCCACACAAGGCAUUCGUAGCACAAUGUUUAUUUCUCAGGCAUUUAUCUUAUUUAGUGAACUUAACAUUUGAGCUCUGUUUCUUAUUGAAAAAAAGAAAAGAAGAAAUCUAAUUACCAAAUUGAAACUGAUUUUAAUAGUCAUGGUAUGAUAUGUGCAUUAGUUGACCCCACUUGAUUGACACACAGAGCUUAGUUUGGUUUGGUAUGGUAUGUGCAUUAUCAGUCUUAUUGGUAUUGGUUUCUGCAAUCAAUUGUUUGUCUUACAUUUUGUGUGACUUUGCAUUGGUGGUACUAGCCCCUUUAAUUGUACAUUAAACAAAUUUGAGUGCAUUUUGAAUUUUCACAUUAGUUUCUCUUUAGGAGUACGAUAUUGCAAGUGAUAACAUGAAGAACCCAAGGGAGCGUUUGGCUCAUCAAAAGCAAAAUCUCUGACGCCAAUUGGGUAAGUUUGUUCUCAUUGUCAUUUAUUUAUUAUGGAUUAGCGAUAUAGGCAUAUUCCUUUAAUUGGGUUUGUUAUUGAUAUUUUAAUUUGGGUGCUUGUAUAAUUUUUAUAAUGUUUAAGAACACUUGAAGAGUCCAAAUCUUAUGAAGUUUCCAAAAUGUAGUUGUCUUGACUGUAUCUAAUGCUUUUUUAUUUAGAUAUGGAGAUAUAUCUUUUGCUCUUUUAUUGAUAACUCUCGGGUUUUGGUAUGACUACUAGUAGACUCUUCCUUCUAGUCUAUUGGCAUCUUUUAUCUACUUUGAAAUGGUUUCUGGUAUGUGGAUGGCUUUAUUAUUGUUCUUCUAGACACCCACAUCAAGAAGUUGUAAGUAUCUUAUUUAUUUAUCUCCUGUUUGUUAUUGCCUUUCUCUGCCCCAAAUUAGUGUGUUUUUUUUUUUUUUGAAACCUUGGAACUGUUUUUAUUUAUUUCUUUAUUUUAAAUAUCUGUUUUCCUUCUAUUAUUUCACCGUGAGUUCAUGACUAUUAAGUGAUGUAUUUGCUAUAAAUUUAUGUGCAUAUACUUCUCCCACUAACAUUUGACUUGUGCAAGUUUGGAUAUGUGUGAGCAGUUCAUGGAUGUCAAUGACAUGAUAAGAGAUGAAGACCUUGUUGAGCACAAAUUUAACUCCCAUGGGAAUGGGGUACCCUAUCAAUUUUAUACUCAACAUUCUGUACACAAUGUCCGGCAACUAGUUUCAAAUAUGGUACCCAGUUACAAAUCUAGAAGGCCUAGUGCUAGGGAACUGAAUCAUUUAAAAUGAAAAGCAAAAAUAAGUUCGAAAGAUCAAACGAAAGGUUGGUCUAAGGAUGAAGAUGUGGAGGUAACAUACUGUCACGAUAUGAUGUCGCCAAAGGGCUUUUGUCCGGAUUCAUCAAUCUCUAAUAAGCCAUUUUCGGAUCCUAUUCCUGAUGAAGACAACUUUGAGCAUGAUGGAGAUGGAGGUUGGCCUUUCCAUAAUUUUGUCGAACAACUCAUUGUUGAUAUGUUUGAUCCUGGGUGCAUGUGCGGGAGUUUAUAUGCUUGACCUGAGUUCUGAUGAUCCAUUUUCUGAAACCAAAGAUAAAGGUCUUGAAGUGACAGUGAAGAGAGAAAGAGAAAUUGAUUUGAAUAUGCAAGUGCCAGCAGAUGAGAUUGAGCCAAACUUGAAGAGGCCGAAGGUUGAAGAUUCAUCGUCUCCAUUAACGGUUACAAGUAAAAUAAUCUCUGCCAGUGGGGAUGAUAAGUUUGAUGCCUGUGUAAAGGUUCAAGAUAGCGAAAGGAAUUUGUCUGCUGCACCAACUAAUUGUGAACUUAAUUUUAGUUCUGUUAAGAUAGAGCCUCAAUCAUGCAUUGAUAGUCAUGAAUAUCCGGAUAUGGCUAAGGCAAAGGUUCCUGUGAAGAUAAUUGUUCAAUGGGGAAGAUGAAUACACUGAAAAGUCUUCCUGAAAAUUGUGUGCUGAUGAACUUGGUUAAAGUGACUAGGCAUUCUUGGCUUAAAAAUUGUGAAUUUCUUCAAGACUGUGCGAUUCGUUUCUUGUGUGUAUUGUCACUAGACCGUUAUGAAUUUGUUUUUCCAUUGGGUUCCAGUCAUGAACUUUAGUUUCUUAUUGAUUUUUUUCGGUUAGUUGAUAGGAAUUGACACCUGUCCAUAAUAAUAAUCUAUAGUUUUGAUUCAUGAGU